rnacentral:rRNA from 1 species
AAUCAACGCUGGCGGCGUGCCUAACACAUGCAAGUCGAACGAGAAAGUGGAGCAAUCCAUGAGUAAAGUGGCGACCGGGUGAGUAACACGUGACUAACCUACCUCCGAGUGGGGAAUAACUCCGGGAAACCGGGGCUAAUACCGCAUAACAUCGCGAGAUCAAAGCAGCAAUGCGCUUGGAGAGGGGGUCGCGGCUGAUUAGCUAGUUGGCGGGGUAAUGGCCCACCAAGGCGAAGAUCGGUAUCCGGCCUGAGAGGGCGCACGGACACACUGGAACUGAAACACGGUCCAGACUCCUACGGGAGGCAGCAGUGGGGAAUUUUGCGCAAUGGGGGAAACCCUGACGCAGCAACGCCGCGUGGAGGAUGAAGCCCUUUGGGGCGUAAACUCCUUUCGACCAAGACGAUAAUGACGGUACUGGUGGAAGAAGCACCGGGCUAAC